AUGGACCUGGGUGCCAGCCACGUGUCCUGGGUGGGGGCUCGGCACCCCAAAGCCCCCCACCAGCAGCUGGGGCUGCGUCCUGCCCCCAGUGGGGUUGCCCCGCUCCAAGCCCCCGGGGCUGAGCCCCCCCGGGUCCCCUUCAAAUCAAGGGGGGGACACCCCCACAGACCACCAGCACCCCCCCGGUACCCCUGCAGCACGCAGCCCACCCGCUGCACCGCGCCCCCCGCGCCCCCCGCACACCCCAGCCCCCGGUGCCGGUGUCCCCCGGGGGGGGGGUCCCCAUCAGCCGGGACCCCCGGGAUGCCCAAUCCCACCCGGUGCCCGGUGCCCCGGUACCUGCAGCCAGCAGGGCAGCGGCGCAGCAGAGCAGCAGGCGGAGCCCCCCCCGGGCCAUGCCGCUGCCGCCGCCGCCGCCCCGGUUCCCGGUGCCGGUUCCCGGUGCCCGGUGCCCGGUUCCCGGUGCCCGGUGCCCGGUUCCCCGUUGCCGCUCCGCCGCCUCCCGCCGCCGCCUUUAUCCGCCCCGGGGUGGGGGGGACGGCGGCGCCCCCUGCCGGUCCCGGGUCGCCCCGAAGCACCGGGGGUGUCCCCGUGUCCCCCCCCCUCCCCGUGCCUCAGUUUCCCCAUCUCCGGGGUCCCGCAGCCUUGGGUGGAUGCGGAGCGGGGGGGAACGGGGAGGGGGCACGGGGCAGGGGGGCUCGGGGAGGAGGGGUGGGGACAUGGGGAGGGGGUUAUGGGGGGUUGGGGAUGUGGCUGGGGGGUGUGGGGACAUGGGGAUUUGGGGACACAAGCAUGUGGGGACGUGGGGACAGGGGAGAAUGGGGGCAUGGGGAGGUGACUGGGGGACAUGGGGUUGUAGGGACACGGGCAGGGGGAUUUGGGGACAUGGGGACAUGUGAGAAUGGGGGCGUGGGGACAUGGCUGGGGGACAUGGGGUGUGGGUACAUGGACACGGGGUUGAUGGGGACAUGGGGAUGCAGGGCAUGGGGACACAGGAGCAUGGGGAUUUAG
rnacentral:lncRNA from 1 species